rnacentral:rRNA from 1 species
ACACUCCUACGGGAGGCAGUAGUGGGGAAUAUUGGACAAUGGGCGCAAGCCUGAUCCAGCCAUGCCGCGUGAGUGAUGAAGGCCCUAGGGUUGUAAAGCUCUUUUGUGCGGGAAGAUAAUGACGGUACCGCAAGAAUAAGCCCCGGCUAACUUCGUGCCAGCAGCCGCGGUAAUACGAAGGGGGCUAGCGUUGCUCGGAAUCACUGGGCGUAAAGGGUGCGUAGGCGGGUCUUUAAGUCAGGGGUGAAAUCCUGGAGCUCAACUCCAGAACUGCCUUUGAUACUGAAGAUCUUGAGUUCGGGAGAGGUGAGUGGAACUGCGAGUGUAGAGGUGAAAUUCGUAGAUAUUCGCAAGAACACCAGUGGCGAAGGCGGCUCACUGGCCCGAUACUGACGCUGAGGCACGAAAGCGUGGGGAGCAAACAGGAUUAGAUACCCCUGUAGUCCCAUG